rnacentral:lncRNA from 1 species
CUGGUCCGCCACUGCCACAUCUAAGGGCAGCGCGCGCGCGCGUGUCUGUGUGUGUGUGUGUGCGUGUGUGUGGAGUUGGCGAUCGAGGGUCACGCGCAGGUGGCUCUGCGGCGGUGGUGGCGGCGGUCGCAGAGGCGACACCGUUGGAGGCAGAGGCAGAGGGCCGGCCGGACCACCAUCCCUGCGGGCGGGGCAGUUAUCCUGGGACGCUCGAUGCCCAGGAAGUAUUUUUUGAGUUGAAUAGCAUCCCACUUUGGGGCAAUAGACGCUUAGUUCACUGAAUUUUGAUGGAAUCAACUGUCAGAGAAAUCUGAGCGCGUGCAAGUUCUGCAGAGAGAGAAGCAGAAUUGUGUGCUGGGGAGAGACCAAACCUUGAUCAUAUCAUUUGCAUGCCUGGAUCCAGCUGUACCUGAAGCAGAAGGCCCGUG